rnacentral:rRNA from 1 species
AACGAACGCUGGCGGCAUGCCUAACACAUGCAAGUCGAACGAGACCUCCGGGUCUAGUGGCUCACGGGUGCGUAACGCGUGGGAACCUGCCCUUAGGUUCGGAAUAACUCCCUGAAAGGGGUGCUAAUACCGGAUAACGUCUUCGGACCAAAGAUUUAUCGCCUUUGGAUGGGCCCGCGUUGGUUUAGCUGGUUGGUAGGGUAAAAGCCUACCAAGGCGUCGAUCGAUAGCUGGUCUGUGAGGAUGAUCAGCCACACUGCGGCUGAGCCGCGGCCCAGACUCCUGCGGGAGGGAGCAGUGGGGAAUAUUGGCCAAUGGGCGAAAGCCUGAUCCAGCAAUGCCGCGUGAGUGAUGAAGUCCUUAGGGUUGUAAAGCUCUUUUACCCGGGAUGGUAAUGACAGUACCGGGAGAAUAAGCUCCGGCUAACUCCGUG